rnacentral:rRNA from 1 species
AACGAACGCUGGCGGCAGGCUUAACACAUGCAAGUCGAGCGCCCCGCAAGGGGAGCGGCAGACGGGUGAGUAACGCGUGGGAAUCUACCCUUUUCUACGGAAUAACGCAGGGAAACUUGUGCUAAUACCGUAUGUGCCCUUCGGGGGAAAGAUUUAUCGGGAAAGGAUGAGCCCGCGUUGGAUUAGCUAGUUGGUGGGGUAAAGGCCUACCAAGGCGACGAUCCAUAGCUGGUCUGAGAGGAUGACCAGCCACAUUGGGACUGAGACACGGCCCAAACUCCUACGGGAGGCAGCAGUGGGGAAUAUUGGACAAUGGGCGCAAGCUUGAUCCAGCCAUGCCGCGUGAGUGAUGAAGGCCCUAGGGUUGUAAAGCUCUUUCACCGGUGAAGAUAAUGACGGUAACCGGAGAAGAAGCCCCGGCUAACUUCGUGCCAGCCGCCGCCGUAACAC